CAGAGGAUCAUUUGAGCAAGUUUCUGAUCCCUAGUGCCCGACUGCUCCUUGGUUAAGGUGGCAGUGUAUCCCUAGAUCACCUUGACAAUAGAAGUCACCUGUCAGUGUCUACUUCAGUCUCAAUGCCACAGAAGACAAAAAGCAUACGCACACACGAAAACCCAAACCACUGAAACUACUCCAACACUGACCUAGUAAGCGGUAAUGUUGGGCCUUUUAAACCUUCAGUUUGUUAGCCAAGCUUUGGUUGGGAUGAAUGGAACAUUCAAAAUCAUGCAAAUAUAGGCCAAAACUGCAUAGCUGGUUAAAAAACACACACACAAAAACACUGAAUAUGAGAAAUAUGUUGAAAUAAAUGUGUACAAAAUAAUUAGACUGAUUGUUGACCCAUACCUAUUUUUCUAAGUUCUAUCACCUAAUUGCCUCAGUCUAAAAAUCUAAUACACCUGCACCAUUACAACUACCAGAAAAGUCUUAUUUAUUUUUGCCUGCAUUUGUGCUUAAAGUUUUGUGAUGGCUGGGCUUCUCAAUGGACUCAAAAAAGGCAGAAAUACUUGCUUUGGAUUCUGUGGAUUCUUUAAACCUGUGUGCUAAUUCAACAAUGUUACAUUAAUUGUGUAAGGGUUUUUGAAUAGUUCUCAGACAUCUGUGGUGAAAUGAUCUUUGUUAAAACAUGUAUUCUGUAAAGUGCCAUAGUCUUUUUUUUUUAUGUGUAGCGUAUUUAAAAUAUAUAUGUAUUAUACAUACACAAGUCUGUGUGAAAGAUGUGCAAUAACAAAGGUGUAUGUAUGUUUUGUUUUUUGGAAACUGGACAGGCGUCAGAACAGGAAUUGUUUCUGUUUUGGCAAAGGAGAGUUAAACAAUUUUGCCUAUAUGGCCUAGUAUUUAACCCAUAAUGAUUUUAAUGCUACACAAACUUAUGUGAAGAAAAGACUGGUAUGAAAUCAUUUUUUCUGGGUCUAAAUUAAAAUAAUCACUAGAUUUAUGUGAACGUUAAGCUGUCAAGCAGGCCCAGUUAAUGCUAGUCUUUCAUGUGAAAUGUGAAGCUGCCCUUUUGCCUUUUCUGUUAGUGUGAUAACUAGUAGCUGGUACAUAAUCACUAAGGAGCUAUUUCUUAACAUGCUUUGAUAGACCAUGUUAAUGCUAGACCACUAUUUAAGGGCUGAUCUCACACCUUCUUAGCCUUAAGAGUCUGGCUUAGAACAGACCUCUCUGUGCAAUAACACGUGGCCACUGGAAAUCCCUGGCCUGCAUUUGUAUUGGGCAGCAAUGACUCCCAAGGGCCAAAAGCAUUACAGGCACGACUGGGAUUUCUUCUGAGACUGUGGUGAAACUCCUCCCAAGUCUGGGGGGAGUCAUUAGGUGCUUUAGAGGAACUCAGCACCACUUGAUAAUUCAACAGCCACUUGAGCCAAAUAGGAAAUUGUCUUUACCGCUGAUGGACUCAGUUUGAGCCUUCAAAUUUGUGGUUAUUCUAUUAUAUUGUAAACUAAUACAUUGUUUGUCUAGCAUUGAUUAGGUCCCUGUGCAUAUGUAUUUUCACAACAUGUUGCUCCCUUCCUUUCCCCAGAUCUGAAUUAAACCAGAUUUUGCAAACUCA